rnacentral:lncRNA from 1 species
CAAAGCUCUACAUAAGCUAAAACAAAUAAACCAACCCCGUCUUGUUGACCUAGAUUACUGCUUAAACAAAGUUAUUCCCAAUAUUCCCUUCAUCUAAUGAAGUUCCUCCAAAUUUCAUGAUCCUUGUGACAAUCCACCCCAGACUAUGGUGAGAGACCCAGAGCUGCAGCAGUUUUGGUUGUGGUUAUUCUGACAUUGACCCGAAGGGAGCAAGAAUGUUUCUCAGGAGCCCUUGCCUGGACUCCCCUUCCAGACCACAACUUCCCCGGUGAUAUGGGACCCUGGAGGAGGAAGUCUACAAUGUGGGAGAGAUGAGUUACCAGGAAGAUAACCUUUGCACUCAGAAGGCUUGCGAACCCCAGAGGAGACUGUCUGUCUGAGAGAUCACCUUACCCACACUGUGGAAUAAAAAUAUUGCCUCUGACAUUAGGGAACUGGCAUUCCCCUCCUCCACUGUUUGAAAAGCACAGACUUUAAACAGAUCUUCAUGGUCACCUCACCCCUGAUGGUGAGCAUCCACAGGAAAAAGAUUGGUCCCAGAUACCAGAGGUAGAAUCUUCAUCCUUUGUUCACUGAUGCCACCCAAGCACCUAGACCAGCGAUGGCAAAUUUAAAACAUUUAAAAAUUGAUGCCUUCCAGUUGUUUGCACACAUUUAGAAUUUUACUGCAUAUGUUAUAAGAGGAAGGAUCUAAAAAUAAAUUAUUAUUCUUU